rnacentral:rRNA from 1 species
GACGAACGCUGGCGGCGUGCUUAACACAUGCAAGUCGAACGGAAAGGCCCUGCUUUUGUGGGGUGCUCGAGUGGCGAACGGGUGAGUAACACGUGAGUAACCUGCCCUUGACUUUGGGAUAACUUCAGGAAACUGGGGCUAAUACCGGAUAGGAGCUCCUGCUGCAUGGUGGGGGUUGGAAAGUUUCGGCGGUUGGGGAUGGACUCGCGGCUUAUCAGCUUGUUGGUGGGGUAGUGGCUUACCAAGGCUUUGGCGGGUAGCCGGCCUGAGAGGGUGACCGGCCUCAUUGGGACUGAGAUACGGCCCAGACUCCUACGGGAGGCAGCAGUGGGGAAUAUUGCACAAUGGGCGGAAGCCUGAUGCAGCAACGCCGCGUGCGGGAUGACGGCCUUCGGGUUGUAAACCGCUUUCGCCUGUGACGAAGCGUGAGUGACGGUAAUGGGUAAAGAAGCACCGGCUAACUACGUG